rnacentral:rRNA from 1 species
GCCCUUAGAGUUUGAUCAUGGCUCAGAGACGAACGCUGGCGGCGCGCUUAACACAUGCGAGUUGAACGCUCCGCCCUCUUCUGCCCUUCGGGGCAGAGAGGAUCACGGAGAGUAGCGGACGGGUGAGUAACGCGUAGGUAACCUGCCCUGAAGAGGAGAAUAACCCUGCGAAAGCGGGGCUAAUACUCCAUAUGUUAGGGGGUCGAUAAGAUCCCUUAAUGAAAGGCGGCAUUAAGCCGUCACUUCGGGAUGGGCCUGCGUCGGAUUAGCUAGCUGGUAGGGUAAAGGCCUACCAGGGCGACAAUCCGUAGCUGGUCUGAGAGGACGAUCAGCCACACUGGGACUGAGACACGGCCCAGACUCCUACGGGAGGCAGCAGUGGGGAAUCUUCCGCAAUGGGCGCAAGCCUGACGGAGCGACGCCGCGUGGGUGAAGAAGGCCUUCGGGUCGUAAAGCCCUGUCAGUGGGGAAGAAAGCAGGCAUCAAGAAAAGGGUGUCUGUUGACGGUACCCGCAAAGGAAGCCCUGGCCAACUACGUGCCA